AGAUGGAGAGGACGCUCUGCCAUUUAGAGGUCCUACUGAGUGGGCACACCUUUUCCCCUCGAGAAAACCUUGUUUCUACCAGAGAAAUGGGCAGAGGCCUCUCUCUGGAACUUGAACCUCUCUGUCCCUGGAAACAUCCCAAAGCAGGCCCAGCCUGCCAUGUUCCUUUGUUGGGGCACAGAGGGAAUGGAAUCUUACCGAUAAGGUGAGAAGAGCUUGAGAGAAUACCAAGGACGGGCCCACCCUUCUCCCUCCUCCCUCCAAACACCUCAGGCUAAAAGGGGAGGGAAAAAAAAGGCACCAACAAAGAGUUUAAGACAGCAAUUCCCAGCUUUUUCAAAUAUGAAGCAUUUUUUAACCAAUCCGUUUUUUAAUUCUUAAAUUCUUGACAUUACAGAACUAAACUGAAAUUUAUUAACAUUCCACUCUUACAUUUCUUAUCGACAAACAGAAAUAAAAUUCAUGAGCCAAAAAACCCAAAACAAAACUAAAAACAGGGAAAAGCUUAUAAAACUAAAUAUGGAUCCCAGCAUUAACAGCUGAACAGAGAAUGUGAUUUUUAAAUUCUUAGCGGAUGAUAAAGUUGUGUAGAAACUGAACACUUACAAAUUAUUUAAAACCUGGAAUCACUGACCAGAAAUUACACAGUUGGAUCAUGGGAGAACAGCAGAAAGGGGUUAUUGAGGGAACCUACACUGUUCUAGCUGCACCCCAUGCCCUUCUCAGAGGAAAGCCUGGCAUUGAUUAGAUACUGGGCCAGACUAAUACUGGCAGCAGAGCCAGUGAUAGUAACCUGCCUACCAGAGGAGCCUUCCACUGGGUUGGCAAUUUUGAUCUGGGCCCCGGACAUCUGGCGGAUCUCAUUAAUGUUGGCGCCUUGGCGCCCGAUUAUGCAGCCAAUUAAGUUAUUUGGAAUGGUGAGUUCAUGGGUGGUUUGAGUAGAUGCAUCCAAACUUGCCCAAUAGCCUUUCACCUCUGGAGAGCUGGAGUCAAUUCCGGCGAAUCCGGUCCCGCCGUGCAUCAUGGCAAAGUGAGACUGUUGUCUUGCCACCUGGUUCAGCUUGGCCAGAUCGAGCGGAGAAAUGGUGUGUUGUCCUUGAAUCGAGUAGGCAUCUAGAGGUGGUCCCUCCAGGUCAUGGGUGGCAUGGGGGUAGCCCGCAGCGUCGCUGCACCGAUCUUGGCCGCCCGCGCAGAUGACUGGGGAGCUGGCCGGCAUGGGCUGGUACGGAAUGGUCAUGACUCUCCCUUGCGGAGACUGGGAGAGCGUCUCCAGCAUGACCAGGCAAAUCUGCUUGACACACUCGGUGACAGACUGCGGCACGCCAGCGAUGGUGAUGGCCCGCUCGGUGGAGUUGGGCAGCAUAUCCCCCGCCACCUGGACCUGCGCCCCCGUACUCUCGCGGAUCUCUUUGAUCUUACACCCGCCUUUCCCAAUCAGGGAGCCGCACUGGGUGGCCGGCACCACCAGCCUCAGGGUGACCGGGGGCCUGCUGGCCGCGGUACUGUUGGUCAUGGAGCUGUUGAUAUCUUCCUCCAGCUUGUCGAUGAUCAUAGCGAAAGCCUUAAAGAUGGCAUUGGUGGGGCCGGUCAGAGUGAUGAUUCUCUCCGGACAAUUCCCCUCCGAGAUGUUGAUCCGCGCGCCACUCUCCUCGCGGAUCCUCUUAACCGACUCCCCUUUCUUCCCAAUGAUGCUUCCUACUUCCUUUCCGUGCAUAAGAAGCCGAAUGAGGAAGACAAACAUAAAGAUGAAGUGCUUAAUUCAAGGUCACACAAUGUCGGGGAUGGACCUCCAGAUUUCCUUACUGACCUGCAUUAUCUUGUGGAUACCUGAGUGAAUUCCACACCACCCAUUUUAUAGAUGAAACCACUGAGACAUGGAGCAAUUGACUGAGUAGUCACUGCCCCACCCCUGCCUGGAGCCUCACACAUGACUCGCCUCCUCUCAGUGACCACAGGAAAACAAGCUCAGGGCUCCCACUGAUUGUACAUUAUGAGACGGAGUCUUGCUAUGUUGCCCAGGCUGGUCUUGAACUCCUCACCUCAAGCGAUCCUCCCGUCUUGGCCUCCCAAGUGUCAGGAUUACGGGCAUGUGCUAUCACACCCAACCUGAUACAUUGCCUUUAUAAAUUUUUUUUUCUUUAUUCUAAAAACCAGAAAAAACAAAACUGGAUACAUGUGCAGAACUUGCAGACCAAGUGUGUUGGGGACUUGAGAUGCGUACAUGAGUGUGAUGUUUCCUGCUGAAAGCACAGGUGAGACGUGGUCUUGUAACACAGUGGUUAAGAAUGUGACUUUGGAGCCAGCCUGCUAGGGGCUGAAUUCUGACUCAGCCAUUUACUAACUGUGUGACCUUAGGCUGGAGUGCAAUGGCAUGAUCUCGGCUCAUCACAACCUCUGCUUCCUGGGUUCAAGCGAUUCUCCUGCCUCAGCCUCCCGAGUACCUGGGACUACAGGCACUCGCCACCAUGCCCGGCUGAUUUUUGUAUUUUUAAUAGAGAUGGUUUCACUAUGUUGGCCAGGCUGGUCUCGAACUCCUGACCUUGUGAUCUGCCCACCUCAGCCUCGAAAAGUGCUGGGAUUACAGGCGUGAGCCACUGCGCCCAGCCUUGUAUUUUUUUUCAGUUUGGGUAGCUGUCCCUAAUUCAUUUGUUAAAGGAGAAGCAAGAGCAAGAACCUUUAAUCUGUUCUCCUCUUCCCUAAUUUGAAAGUAGCUUGUUAUUUUGAAUAUCACUUUCUCUGAAAUAGCACAUCUCCAUCUCAGAGAAUGGAUUUAAUGUUUGGAUACAGCCAAAAGUCAUUUCAUUACCAAACCAUGGGGUGAAUAUACCAUGUAAAGCAGUUUGGGAUCAGAACUCACAGUCUGAAUUGUAAGUGAUGAGACUGCUGUCUCUCUGCUACAGCUUCUUGGCUGGCUCUGAAGGCUCUUUGAAGGCAGAUCCUAACAAGGGGACUGCUUUGAAGGGCCAUUGUUCAUUUGGAAUGAUAAAGUCUAUGUUGUUCAAAAAACAAAUGCUUGUAGCAGGUAUUUUUUCACUCCAGACUGAGAAUAUUGGUGGGAUAUUGAUAAGGGGUACUGAAUGGUAAUAAACAUGUGCUCUAGCUCUGUGCUAGUCAGCUUAUUUCAGAACUCUAGUUUGAUUCAGUUUCUUGCCUCUGACUCAAAAUGGAGGGAGAGUGAUUUUUACAUAAGAGAACACACCCACAUAUCCUUUUGGCAGCAGCUACCUGCCAGAGAUGUUGAAGAAGAGUAGCCAACCUUUACACAGCAGAUAUUGUGUGCCAGUCAUAGUCCUAAGUAUAAUACCUUACAUGUAUAAACUUCUUAUAAGGUUGGUGCUCUGUACCGAAUUGAAUAGUAUCCCCCAAAAUUCAUGUUGUCCCAGAACCUAUGAAAGUGAUCUUACUUGAGGGAGGGGGGAGGGG
rnacentral:lncRNA from 1 species